AUGGUUGGGAGCGUGCACGUCAACGGGUCGGUGAACGGCGCCAACGGCACCGAGGAGCGGCUGGACGAGCUGCGCCGGCUGCUCGGCAAGUCCGACGGCGACCUGCUCAAGAUCGUCAGCAUCGGCGCCGGCGCCUGGGGCAGCGUCUUCGCCGCCCUCCUGCAGGACGCCUACGGCCACUUCAGGGAGAAGGUGCAGAUACGGGUGUGGCGCCGGCCGGGGCGGGCGGUCGACCGGUCCACCGCCGAGCACCUGUUCGACGUGAUCAACUCGCGGGAGGACGUGCUGAGGCGCCUCAUCCGCCGCUGCGCCUACCUCAAGUACGUCGAGGCGCGGCUGGGUGACCGGACCCUGUACGCCGACGAGAUUUUGAGGGAUGGGUUCUGCUUGAACAUGGUCGACACGCCCCUCUGCCCGUUGAAGGUGGUCACCAACCUCCAGGAAGCUGUCUGGGAUGCUGACAUUGUGGUCAAUGGCCUGCCGUCCACUGAAACGAGGGAGGUGUUCGAGGAGCUCAGCAAGUAUUGGAAGGAGCGGAUCAGCGUUCCGGUCAUCAUUUCCCUUGCAAAGGGGAUAGAAGCCUCCUUGGACCCAAUUCCUCGUAUCAUCACGCCUACACAGAUGAUCAGUUCCGCAGCUGGCGUUCCAACCGAGAAUAUACUCUAUCUUGGAGGCCCAAACAUUGCCUCGGAAAUUUAUAACAAAGAAUAUGCAAAUGCUCGAAUCUGCGGAUCCACCAAGUGGAGGAAACCUCUCGCUAAGUUUUUGAGGCAACCGCAUUUCAUUGUUUGGGAUAACAGUGACCUUGUCACUCAUGAGGUUAUGGGCGGACUGAAGAACGUAUAUGCUAUUGGUGCUGGAAUGGUGGCAGCUUUAACAAACGAGAGUGCAACAAGCAAAUCAGUGUAUUUUGCUCACUGCACGUCAGAGAUGAUAUUCAUUACCCAUCUACUGACAGAACAGCCAGAGAAACUUGCUGGCCCUCUGCUGGCUGAUACUUACGUAACUCUCCUGAAAGGUCGCAAUGCAUGGUACGGGCAAAUGCUAGCGAAGGGAGAACUCAGGCUUGAUAUGGGUGACAGUAUAAAGGGAAAGGGGAUGAUUCAGGGUAUUUCUGCUGUUGGUGCAUUUUUUGAGCUGCUCAGUCAACCCAGCUUAAGUGUGCUACACCCAGAGGAAAACAAGCAAGUUGCUCCUGCUGAACUGUGCCCGAUUCUGAAGAGGCUUUAUAGAAUUCUGAUAAAAAGGGAGCUCCCGGUGGGAGACAUCCUCCAAGCCCUGAGGGACGAAACCAUGAACGACCCCCGUGAGAGGAUCGAGAUGGCGCAGAGUCACGCGUUCUACCGCCCGUCACUGCUUGGGAAGCCGUGA
rnacentral:rRNA from 1 species